AACUGAAAAAGGCAAACCAGACCGAUAAGGCUGGGACGCAAAGAUCCAGACCCGAUACUAACUUCUUUGGAAGGGUGGCUGAUCCGCCAGU
rnacentral:ncRNA from 1 species